rnacentral:rRNA from 1 species
AUACACAGCCAUACUACUCUGAAUGAACCAGAUUUUAGCUGAUCUCAGAAGCUAAGCAGGAUCAAACCUGGUUAGUGCUUACA